rfam:Pichia pastoris GS115 chromosome 1, complete sequence
UCCGAAAUAGUGUAAUGGCUAUCACAGUUCGUUCUCACCGUGCAGAUCCGGGUUCGAUUCCCGGUUUCGGAA